CCUGAGAAACCCAAAAGAUCGAAUGGGGAGAUUCAUCGUCAGCUCAUUUUGUAUAUAUAUAAGUUAUGAUGCGGGUUACUACUUGUAGUAUUGCUUGCACAUUCUUAUAUAUUUAGUUGCAGGAUGUUGUCGGCGUGCACUUCUCCCCUAGUAGGACGUCGCGACCCGUUGAGUGUCGGUCUACGGCCCAAGUGGUAGUCUUUAAUAUUUUAUUAUAUUAAAGNCCCUUGGUGUUUCCUGACCGGCUACUCGGCGGUACACGUACGGUAUUAAGCCGCAUUUAUUUGCGUCCAUUCCCGUCGCAAGCGAGGCCAAUUACUGAUAGUACGGACCUAGUGCCGUCGUUGGUAUUGGCCAGCUGUUGGUUGUUACGGUGUUCUAGGACUGGCUGAAAAAUUAAUUACCGGUCGGCGAUGCUACUGCUUUGGGUACUUUCAG
rnacentral:rRNA from 1 species